rnacentral:rRNA from 1 species
UGGGGAAUAUUGGACAAUGGGCGAAAGCCUGAUCCAGCCAUGCCGCGUGUGUGAAGAAGGUCUUCGGAUUGUAAAGCACUUUAAGUUGGGAGGAAGGGCAGUAAGCGAAUACCUUGCUGUUUUGACGUUACCGACAGAAUAAGCACCGGCUAACUCUGUGCCAGCAGCCGCGGUAAUACAGAGGGUGCAAGCGUUAAUCGGAAUUACUGGGCGUAAAGCGCGCGUAGGUGGUUCGUUAAGUUGAAUGUGAAAGCCCCGGGCUCAACCUGGGAACUGCAUCCAAAACUGGCGGGCUAGAGUAGGGGAGAGGGUGGUGGAAUUUCCUGUGUAGCGGUGAAAUGCGUAGAUAUAGGAAGGAACACCAGUGGCGAAGGCGACCACCUGGGCUCAUACUGACACUGAGGUGCGAAAGCGUGGGGAGCAAACAGG